AACGACCAUAAUACCACGUUGAAUACACCAGUUCUCGUCCGAUCACUGAAGUCAAACAACGUCGGGCGUAUUUUACACGACAAAUACACAUCAUAGUAA